rnacentral:rRNA from 1 species
UACGGAGGGUGCAAGCGUUGUCCGGAUUUAUUGGGUUUAAAGGGUGCGUAGGCGGCUAUUUAAGUCAGUGGUGAAAUCCUGCAGCUUAACUGUAGAAUUGCCAUUGAUACUGGAUAGCUUGAGUACAGACGAGGUAGGCGGAAUUUAUGGUGUAGCGGUGAAAUGCAUAGAUACCAUAAAGAACUCCUAUUGCGAAGGCAGCUUACUAGGCUGUAACUGACGCUGAGGCACGAAAGCGUGGGGAUCAAACAGG